rnacentral:rRNA from 1 species
AGCAGCCGCGGUAAUUCCAGCUCCAAUAGCGUAUAUUAAAGUUGUUGCAGUUAAAAAGCUCGUAGUUGAAUUUCGGGAUUUAUCCGUCGGUCGGGCUUUUGGGUCUGUACUGGCGUGAUGGAUUCCUACCUUCUGAAUAACCGGCAUGUCAUUAAUUUGGUGCGCCGGGGAAGCAGGACUGUUACCUUGAAAAAAUUAGAGUGCUUAAAGCAGGCUUAUGCCUGAAUACAUUAGCAUGGAAUAAUGAAAUAGGACGGCAUGGUUCUAUUUUGUUGGUUUCUAGGGUCACCGUAAUGAUUAAUAGGGAUAGUUGGGGGCAUUAGUAUUCAAUUGUCAGAGGUGAAAUUCUUGGAUUUAUUGAAGACUAACUACUGCGAAAGCAUUUGCCAAGGAUGUUUUCAUUAAUCAAGAACGAAAGUUAGGGGAUCGAAGACGAUCAGAUACCGUCGU